GACCUUCGGCUUUCUUUCCCAUUGGCCAAAGCUCCCCCCACACAAAUAGCUGCAUCUCAAGAAUAGAACAAAAUUCUCGUCCUCAGCUCGACACACUAAACUACUGGCAGGGAUGUAUUCUCGGGGCAGCUUUUUAAAGUCUGUCUGCAAACAGCACCAAGAUUAAAGGCGGCUCCGGAGUGGGGAUGGAGCGGUUCUGCAGCCUGUGAGGACCACAGCCCGGGCCGCUCACACGUCAGGAGGUCUAGACAGCGGCCCUUCUAAUUCUGGAAGUGCAGGCGAUCGGCUAAGCCAGCGAAUGGGAAGAUGGCAGACCCAUCUAUUGUGGACACAACUGAGAGUACAUUCAUGAGCUAUCCAAAGCUGGUGACCUGUCUCUACAGAUGGUGAGUCCCUGGGUACCUAUUUAUAGGAAGCAAGCCUCAACCAUUCCCAGUCUCCAGGCUGGACCAGGGCUUCUUCUGCAUGUUCCAGCAUCUUCUAUGGCACCAUCAUUAAGAGCCCAGACUCCGGAUCAGACUGCCUGGGUUGGAGUCCUCCCUUUGUUUUCUGUUCUUCCCUGGACUCCGACAGCUGUUCCAGCAUCGCCCACCCUGGCUGCAGCCAGUUAAGAGGGAGAAGCAAGUGAGAUGAGCAUCGCCAGCAUCACACACGGAGGGGAUGAUGGA